rnacentral:lncRNA from 1 species
UUUUUUUUUGUUUACUUGACAGUACAUAAUAGGAACUGCUCAUAAAGCAAAACAGAAAACAUACAAUAUAACUUCAAAACAAAAGAAAAAAUACAGAAAUGGGGAAUUAAGUCAUUGUUCUAAAGAGCAAUGAUUCAGGUCUAAUAUUAUAAUGCAACUACUCUUCAGGCAAUAUUAUUAAGCUAAAUACAAGGUUUCAGAAUAGUGCAUGUCUGUUAUACUGCAGAAAUGAUCAAAUUCAUUUAAAGUGACAGUAAAAAAAAUUUAUUACUGGUCUUCAAAAAGAGACUAUAUCAAGCCUUUAUAUAUUUGCAUGACGUUUGUUCUAGUUCUCAUUUCUGCUAAGCCAAAUGCUUGAAACAUAUAUUAUGCAAUUUUUAACAAGUAUCACUGCAUUUUUUGUUUUCCUAGGGAUACAAAGCAUAGCAAAAGUCAGCUUUUGGGUCAGCUGCAAUAGGGAGUUAAAUUGGAAUAAAGUAUAUCAAAAUGCUUAUGCUCAGCCAACUGCAUAAUCAAAGGAUAAAGGUUCCACUGAACAAUUUAGUAUCUGACUUUUCUAACUAACCUUUUUGUCAUAAAUCAAAAUAUUUCAUUUUAUUGUUGAAAGUUAGUCUUAGCACUGGGGAUAAAGAGAAAGGAAGAGAGCAGCACAGGUAGACGUGGGCAGCAUAUACCAGUAAGGUCACACAUCCAGAGAAUCCUGUGACAUCACAAUAAACACAACAAUAAAGCUCCAGAGGAUUGGGAAGUGUCUGAGAUGACAGGAAGGUAUCUUUGGACUCGGUUGUUUUGCAACAUACUUAUCUCACUUAAUUAUUGUAUGAAAAAUACAACUUUUAAUUUCUAGGAAGAAUACGUUGUCCCCUUGAUAUUUUGGAAAGCUCAGUUUAUUGAAGAUUUUCUAUCACUGAAUAAGAGCAUUAUAGGGUUUUAGCUUACAUCACCACUUCAGAGUUGAGCUGCUGUAGCUGGACAGUGGAUUAUAGAAACGAUGCAUUGACAUAAGAGACCCACAUGGUUGCCUUUAGAGGUUUGAAAACCUCUUUUAAAGGGAUUCAUUUGCUCACUUUACUGUUUUCAGGGUUAAGUUCUAGAAUGGGCCAAAUAUUUUCCAGAGGUUGAAUGCUUGAAACUCUCAUGAAUUUACUACUAAACAUAAGCUAUUGAAUUUGAUGGAAGAUGAAGGUAAAUGUUUUGCAUCAGAGGCUGUGUUGCUCCUAUGGAAAUUUUGAGAAAUUAAUGUGGAACUGUGUGAUUUUAGGACUAUUUGAGGGUUUAUAUCACAGCUUUUCCUAUGCUUUCACUGUAGGCUUGUAUAUUGUUUUUGAUGCCUGGUGUUUUUUUCUUUUAUCAGGUGAAUAUUCUUUUUUGUAAUAAGGUUUUCUACUUACUGAUAUUUUGGAAGGAGAGAUUAUAAUGAGUAUUUCUAUCUGUGGAAAUAGUUCUUUUUUUGCUCCACGGAGCAAUCAGUGUUUUGCCCUUUUUCAUGACCUUCAGAAAACAUUAUCUUUAUUCCACUGUAUGAAUCUGUCAUUAUUUUAUCUAGAGUGUGUGCAGCCCUGCCCCAAAAAGGCUAAAAUAGGACAAGAAUAGUUACAUAAAAGGUGAUGCUCCACAGGUAUGGAACAAUUCCAUAUAGCUGAAGCAGGACAGUGAAGAGCAGUUGCAGAGGAAGAGGAUACUCCGUGUCACAAAUGGCAUGGUGAAAGCUAAUACAGGGCAAUUGAUGACCAUGAAUUGUAUGACAAGAAUGGAAAAAAUCAAAAGGAAAUUUAAAAGACAACAAUAUAUAUUCUCCUAUUCAGUGAAUGGUUGAAACUGUUGAUAUGAAUGACCAUGAAAUCUGUUAACCAUUGUGGUGUACAUACUGCCUUCUGCUCAGAAAAUUUCCCAGCCAUGAGCUGCAAUACAAGGAAAAGUUUCCAAAAUUAUUUUCACUGUAUCCAUGUCUCUUUAAUAUUUACAAUUAUUCAUUGACACUAUAACAUAGGCUUGGAAAAAUUCCUUGUAUAAUGUGGACUAAACACCAUAGGUGAUUUUGAUGGUUUCUCCUAACUUUAGUCCUAACAUUUGGUUUCUGAUACUCUUAACUGGCUUCUUUUUUACUGGCAGAAUCUUCUGGCUCCUUAAAGGGUCAUUGGGACAAGUGAAAGAGCCAUGUGGAACAUUUUUAGGCAACACAAGCAUAUGAUAUAAUGUAAGCUUCAUAAUACAAUACUGGUGUUCCUCCUGAUGUUUGCCUUUUAUUAAGAUGUGCCUGCUUAAUGCUGAUGUGUACAUUUCUUGGAGAACUAUCAUGAAACUUUCCAAAAACUGUCAGCCUCACAAUUUGGUCAACUGGUUUUGAAAGAAAGUAUUUUUGGCUUUGAGAAUUUUGGGUUAAACUUGCACCUUUCAUUUUAAAAAGGAAAAUAGUGCAGAACCAAAGUCUCUGGCUGCAAAUAAGCAACCAUUUGCAGGCACACCUUGAUUAUCUCUGAGAUAGAAGUCUUCCAGUGGGGUUUUCUUCUUGCUCAAGGUCAGAUGACUUUCACAGUACUUGUACCAUCUUCAAGAUUUACUAUCAGUUGUAAAAGUAGCUGUGAAAUAUAAUUUUAUUCUUGACAUCUGGAAGAGAGCUUGGUGUUGUAACUGGUCUAUAAAUUAUAAAAGUAAAUAUACAUGCAUGAAUACUUUGAGGUAUAAAGCAUGUACUAAACACCCAGUAUAUGUACCAUCAAGUAUUUCAGAAAUAUCUAAUAUGUUCUGAAAUAUAAUUUCUGCUUUUUUCCCUCACCCCAUAAACUGAGGAAAUGUCUCUGGAGUCAUGUAUUGGCACUCAAGGUUUAGUCAUGUGCUACCAAGUAAUCUGCAUGAGGACACACAAAGGCAUCCACAGUAUAAGCCACCUGCUCUGUGGAUACGUCUAUAUGUCUAUAGCCAUAGACAACAGUAUUCGUGGCUGGUUUGCCAUUCCCUCCUUGCCUCUUUACUCCCAUUCAGAUUUUGGGAACCCAGAUUUCUACAGAUUAUUUACACAUCAGUCAGGAAUUUUAAGGCAGCAUGGAAAAGGUAGAGGGAACAAACCAUGCUGAGCAGAAGACUGGCCAAGCUUAGUUUUCUCGUGGAUUAGUAGGGAAACAGCCAAGCUAGCCACAGGUAUCAAUGCAGUUCAUGAUAAGGGGUGUGAACCCUCAAAUGACAGCUGUGUUCUCUUUUUCUUCACAGCACCACAGAUUAAAUGCAAAUGAAAAUUUCAGAAGAAAAGCUAUUUUAGAGACAUGGUUAUCUUGGAAGUCUUUGGAUGUCAUUUUGGUUAGAAAAUUAUACAGCAGUGAAAUUACUUUAAUACAGAAAUGUUCUUACUACAUUUCCUUCUCUUUCUGUUAUGAUCUUAAGUAUGCAAUGGUUCUUCCCUUGGGGUGUAAGUCUGUAAGUAUAUUACAGGGUUUGGCUGACAAAAAUGCUUCAGCAAAUAUUUCAACUUGCUCUUGAACUCUUCAUCUUGACUUUGAACAUCGAGUUCAUAGUCCACAUUAUGUGAUCAGUCUUGUGCUUAAUUCAUUCACAGGCAAAAAGAAAUGUCAACGGAGACUGAAGCAGAGAAGCAGUUCUUUGCAGAAUAGCUAUACAUCCCUGCAUAUACCUGCAUAGAUACCUGAUGUUAUCAAGUUACAUAUUCAUAAAGAUCUCAGGGUUCUAUAUGGAGAGUCAUGUUCUGUGAGGGCUUUCAUAGUUUGGAGCAUUCAGCCUUGUUCUCAAGUGCUGAUUGCGCUAAGCGUUCACUCCUGAAAAAUGAAAUUUCUAUGUUCUCACCCCAAAAAGGGCACUUUGUGCUCCUAAUAGCAUGGCAAAUUUGAAGGGAAGAGGCCCUCCUAGCUCUUCAGAGAACAUAAACAGCAUAAAGCUCUAUUUAUACCUUCUUCAGAGAAUCUAUUUGUUCCAAAUUCUCCAGCUCUUCCUCAGAUGAUUCAUUGUGUUUGACUUUCAUGACAGCUAGGGAGUCAAAACUCAGAUUCUGUCUCACUAAGGCAAUUUCACUCCAUCUCAUGCAGCUCAAGAGCUUCUCUCUGUUUUUUUAUAUAAAGAAAUGUACCUAGUGCUACACAAUGCUUUGAUUGUGAAGUAUGUCCAGACAACAAUUUCAACACAGGAAGUGUCUGAUAAUAAUACACAAUUUGAAAAUUAGCCUGUAUACAAUUUAAUUCAGAAUAUCUGGUAAUCACUGCAGAUGUUAAUUAGGAGACAUGGCUCCAGUGAAGACUGAGCACUAAGGGACGUGUGGGUGAUUUUCUGGGUUAGUUUAGAUGAUGCUGCAGUUAUCUUGCUGUCAUCAGUGAAUCACAGAAUGAAUCAAUAUCUGGAAAGGACCCAAAAGCAUCACAGAGUCCAACUCCUGGCCCUGCACAGGACAACUCUAAGAAUCCCACCAUGUAUCUGAAAAUGUUGUCCAAACACUUCUUGAAGUCUGUGAGGCUUGGUGCUGUGACCACUUCCCUGGAGUGACUGUUCCAGUGCCCAGCCACCAUCUGGGAGAAGAACAUUUUCUUAAUAUCCAACCUAAACCUCCUCUGACACAGUUUCAUUUCCUUUCCUCGAGUCCUGUCACUGGUCAACAAAGAGAACAGACCAGUGCCUGCCUGUCUGUUUUGCCUUGGGAGGAAGCUGUCGAUUCAUCCCUCAGUCUCCCCAGGCUGAACAAACCAAGUGACCUCUGCCACUCCUCAUAUCCAUCUUCCCCACACCAUUCACCACCUUCAAGAACAGUUAUGUUCUCCUCCAUUUUUUUUUCUUUUUAUGAACUACAAGUCUUCCCACAAAAAGGUGUGUGGAACCAUCAACAACACUCUUACAUCUUCACUAGCAGAGGUAUUGAAAAUAUUUUUUUUAAAAAAUCUGGAAAAAAUAAACAUAAUCUAAUAAUAUUUCUCCAUUUUCUUCAGCCUUGUUCCCAAACAACUCCAAACACUUUGCAGACGUGAUUCCAGGGUCAGCAUAUCCCUAGUUCUUCAUCUCAUAGAAGGGAAACAAAGAGUUGAGCAAGAAUGCCAUCUUGUUUGAAGCGCUGAUCCCUGUAACAUAAAGAAAUGAGAGUUAUAAAAUUCACUACUUUUAAAAUUAAGUCUGUUUUUAGGUGAUAUGACUAGCAUCAUCAAGGACAGUUAAGUAUAUAAGCAUGUGUUUAAGUAUGAUCCUUGAGUAGCUUGAAUAGAACAAAUCCUCAAGGUUCUGGAGUAUCUAAAUCUAUUUCCUGUUUGAGGCACCUGGCCUCCGGCUGUUGUCUGCAACAUGAUAAAGCCCAGUGCCUCAAGAUAACCACAGCCUCAGCCAUCUGCUCCUGGAUUAGCUGGACCAAGGUGUUUACUAGCUAGGACAGCUCAUUUGCAGUAGGCAACACCAUAACAGAUCCAUGGGCAGAUAACACUACAACUUCCGUAACAGACUCAGAAUUAGUCACAUAGAUGACAGCCACUUAAGCACCUGAAAGAUCCAAACUUCUAAUGAUAGUCUUGAGCCACAGACUGUUUCAGUCAUUUGGUCCAAACCCAUGCACAGAAAACUUAGUGUUUGUAUGGAAGGAGAGAAGAAUGAAGGCAAGCUUCUCCACGUGUUGCUCCAGAGCUUUACAAAGUUUCUUGUGCCUUCUCUUCCACUUCUGAGAGCAGUAAACAAAGUCAGCUCAUGGAGAUGUAUUAGAACCAAGCACAGCUUCUUCUGGGCCCCAUCAAUAUAAAAUAUACAGAAACCCCAGAAGUUUGCAAAGUUAUUUCAGGGGCUGGAAAUAAUCUUCCUAUGAUGGAGCAGGUAUAGGAAUAAAAUGUUCUGUGUAUAUUUUAUGUAGCUGUAUAUUUUGAGAGAAAUUUAAGAUCACCCACAAAGGACAAAUAUCUCUUAUGAGGUAGGGCUGAAUGAUUUUAUUUAAAAUUAAUAAAUAAGAAAUGAAAGAGCAGCUUGUUUCUCUAAAAUCCAAGUUGUAAAAUAUAUUUGUUUAGAUUUUUUUUUAUUUUGUUUAUUGGUCUUUUGGUAUUUUAUGUUUUUAGAUGACUACAAGGAUUUAAACAGAAUUUUUAGUUUUGGUUCAAUAAGAUUUAAAAGAAGAGCUUUAGUAAUCACAGUGCCAAUUCAAACUUACUUCCUACUAAAGAGCAAGCCCAAGGAAUGCUUAACUUUUCUGGUUUAAAUUCUUCAUUAAAAAGUAAAAGUUUAAAUUGGCAGGAAAACUGCUAUUUAAGCUGCUAGUACACCAACAUCAGAGAAAGCUGAGUUUUAACCCUUGGUACUCUGCCAGGUACUGUACUACAUAUAAGCAAGAUAAAGAGAGAAAUAAAGAAAAAAAUGAUGGUCGAAGAUAAUUUUUAUUUAGCCUGUGAUACCCUAAUGGAUUUAAUGUAAAAAAAUAAAAGGUUAUGAAGUACCUCUUGAGGCCAUAACCAAUAGACUUUCAAAAUCUGUUGAUUUGCACUAGCCAGCAAAUCCAAAAAAUUGUAACAUAUAAUUGCAAAGCACAGCCUUGUUUGGUCGAAUGAUUGGCAUAUGUUUCUCAAGAAAUAUCCUUAUAACUUACCUAAAACUCUGCUUAUGAGUAAUAGGUUUUUUGUUCAUGAGUGAAAUAAUUAUGCACAGUUUUACACCACUUAGUUCUCUUAAAAGUUAUAGCAUCAGGGGCCUGAUGUUGUAGUUUGGCAUUUCAAGUGUAGGAACUUAGAUUUCACAUUUAAUGUCUCAGCCACUCUGGAUCCUAGCCACCUAAAACUUGGCAGGCAAGUUUGUCUGCCCAGAUGAUUUUUUUUAUAGUUUAAGAUGAGUAAGUCCUUUUCUGUACAAUGGCCAAAAAAAUUGUUUGGAGCUAGUUAUAUAAUAUUUUCUUUACCAGAUGCAAUUAUAAAAUAAUUCUGUUAAACAAAAAAAAAAAAGAUACAGUCUGCAACUUGUCACCAGUUUUUGUAGAAUAAAGCACUUAGGAUUUUUAAGCAAGAUAAACCACCACCCCAUAGACAAACAAUGAAAAUUAAAUAUUGGACAUUGAGACAAGUAAAUUCUCCAGCAAACUUUACCAGUUAGUUACACUUUACCUAGGCAAUCAGAGUGGCCAAGAGAAAACACUUAUGGCAAUUUUAAAAACAGCUUUCUGCUCUUGCAGCACAGCAUGCUAAUCUUGCUCUUUGCUGUGCCUUACACACAUCACCUGUGGGGAGAGACAACCAUCCCCAAAGUGGCGUGGCCAGUGUGCCACCACCAACCAUCAAAACUUCUCACAGAGAACUGUGCACUCUUAUCAUCCAUCUUUUAAAGAACCUUUAUAAAUUAUCUGACUCUGGAGACCUAAUAUGUUAACUUCAUGGUCCAGCACUAUACUUCAGACCAGAACUGGGAAAUAAGAAGAUCAAAUUUUCCUGUGGGCCUCAAGAUGUCAAUGCAAAAAAUUGUCUCUAAUAACAGCUGACCCUUUGUCUGAAUAGUCAAAAUGGGCCAACCCAAAAUAUUCUAGACUGUCACCAAUCCUUGGAGUAUCUGAUAGUUUCAUUUGAAGUAAAAAAAAAAAAAAAAAAAAAAAAAAAAAAA